rnacentral:rRNA from 1 species
AAAGAAACUAACUAGGAUUCCCUUAGUAACGGCGAGUGAACCGGGAUGAGCUCAAAUUUAAAAUCUGGCGUCUUUCAGGCGUCCGAGUUGUAAUCUAUAGAGGCGUUUUCCGCGCCGGACCGCGUCCAAGUCCCUUGGAAUAGGGUAUCAAAGAGGGUGACAAUCCCGUACUUGACGCGACGACCGGUGCUCUGUGAUACGUUCUCAACGAGUCGAGUUGUUUGGGAAUGCAGCUCUAAAUGGGUGGUAAAUUCCAUCUAAGGCUAAAUAUUGGCGAGAGACCGAUAGCGAACAAGUACCGUGAGGGAAAGAUGAAAAGCACUUUGGAAAGAGAGUUAAACAGCACGUGAAAUUGUUAAAAGGGAAACGAUUGAAGUCAGUCGUGUGGGAGGUAUUCAGCCGUCUCUGGCGGUGUAUUUGCCUCUCACGGGUCAACAUCAGUUUGAUCCGGUAGAAAAAGGCGGGAGGAAGGUGGCACCCUCGGGUGUGUUAUAGCCUCCUGUCACAUGUGCCGGACCAG